UACGUAGGGUGCGAGCGUUGUCCGGAAUUACUGGGCGUAAAGAGCUCGUAGGUGGUUUGUCGCGUUUGUCCGUGAAAACUCACAGCUUAACUGUGGGCGUGCGGGCGAUACGGGCAGACUGGAGUACUGCAGGGGAGACUGGAAUUCCUGGUGUAGCGGUGGAAUGCGCAGAUAUCAGGAAGAACACCCGUGGCGAAGGCGGUUCUCUGGGACGGUACUGACGCUGAGACGCGAAAGCGUGGGGAGCGAACAGG
rnacentral:rRNA from 1 species